AAUUUUCUCAGUGUUAAAUCUUACUUGCCUGUCAGUAAAAACCUGGCUUAACUUAGUCUAAGGAGAUUCUAGAGUUAAUAUAAAUAUUCAUAUACAAAUAUGUAGUCCUGUUUGAGGUUCUGAAACCUUCAUUCGAAGAAAUUUCUAAAAACAGACUUCAUGCUAUACAGCGCUAUACUUAUGUUAUCUCUGGAGCAGGGGGAAAGGCAGCAAGAAGAGGUAAAUCCUUAUCAAGCAAGGAUUCCAUGGAAGAAAAAGAGCUAUGGAUUCAAAUCUACUUCAAAGACAAACAAAACAAAACAAAACAAAAAGACCCAAGGAACAAUAUGCACAACCUGGUAGCAGCUACUGGUUUGACAAACUGUUGUAUCUGAAUGCUGAACCAUAUUCUUGAUCUCAUGGGAAG